rnacentral:lncRNA from 13 species
GAUCUCAUAAUUUUUCAGUUAACAAUAGGAUUAAUACCCCAACAGUUACAGGCAUGAGCUAAGGGAGAGUUGCUGGAACACAGCCAUGGAUGUGUGGGAGCCAAGGUACCUGCGCAUGCAGCUUGCCUCCACCCUGUGGUCCUGCUCAUGCUCGAUCCCAAAUGGACCACAUCAUCUUAUAAUUUAUUGAUGCUGGACCCACUCCCCCUCGUGACUUCACGGGCCUGGUAAGACCCAGCUCCUGACAAGCAAUUUUGGCCACGUGGUCAUUUGGUGUGCACGGUCAGAGUCAAUUAUCUGUCUCUAGGGCCCAGCAGCAAACCAGGAGUUGUUCUUCAGAAAGGUGUGUGAUUCUCUUUGACAGAUGGUGUAGCCACGUUCCAGAACUCUGAGGGCCUACAUUGUGAUUCUCUCUCUGAGGCUUGCCACAGACUCCACACAGUAUCUUUUUCCAUCCCUGAUACAUAGACAGCCCUGUCAUGAGGGAUGUUUUAUCACAGCCUGGAUCCGCGACAGAGCUCGUUUCUGCCCUGGGCUCCAUACACAAAGCUGAGAGCUUUGUAUCACCCAGUGCGGCAUGGACUGUGCUGCCUUUAAAACACAAAGAGGCUCACCCAGUGUUCUGCUCACUGUUUCUUGAUAAGAAAUGCAAGAUUUAAUUAUUUAUCUUCUAGUCUAGAGGGGAUAUCCCAACAUGCCUGCGAACCUCAGGCACCUAAAAAUGGAAUCGAUAUGACCACCCCUCAAUCUCAGAUUUCUCUCCCACUCUCUGGAGUACAUGUGUCUUUCAAAGCCCACCAGCAUGUCAGCCACCUCUUGCUCAUCCAGACUGGUUGACAUCAUCUUUUUCACAGAGUGGACGUCCAUAUGAACAAGGUCUAUAUUGCAGAGGGCAGGAGAGUGAACACCGUCGUGGCACAAGCUAAUGGAUUUUUGUGUCUUCAUUCAGAAGUGACCAACUGUCAAGAUGAGGACCCAAGCCGUGAGGUGCGGAAGCAUUACGCUCCUACUGCCUGUCACCAGCCCUCAUGGGGCUACGUCUGAGUCCUCUCUGCUUCCUGGUAAUGCCUCCAGAAUACUGAAACCUAUUUCUAAGAAAUCGAUAUCAAAAAAUGAAAAGUGCGGUGAUGGAGUAGAAUGCAGUUCCUAA